rnacentral:rRNA from 1 species
ACAGAGGGUGCAAGCGUUAAUCGGAUUUACUGGGCGUAAAGCGUGUGUAGGUGGCUCGCUAAGUCUGAUGUGAAAGCCCUGGGCUCAACCUGGGAAUGGCAUUGGAAACUGGCGACCUAGAGUGCGGUAGAGGGUAGUGGAAUUCCCGGUGUAGCAGUGAAAUGCGUAGAGAUCGGGAGGAACAUCUGUGGCGAAGGCGACUGCCUGGACCAGCACUGACACUGAGGCACGAAAGCGUGGGGAGCAAACAGGA